AGUGAACGCUGGCGGUAGGCCUAACACAUGCAAGUCGAACGGCAGCACAGUAAGAGCUUGCUCUUACGGGUGGCGAGUGGCGGACGGGUGAGGAAUACAUCGGAAUCUACUUUUUCGUGGGGGCUAACGUAGGGAAACUUACGCUAAUACCGCAUACGACCUACGGGUGAAAGCAGGGGAUCUUCGGACCUUGCGCGAUUGAAUGAGCCGAUGUCGGAUUAGCUAGUUGGCGGGGUAAAGGCCCACCAAGGCGACGACCCGUAGCUGGUCUGAGAGGAUGAUCAGCCAGACUGGAACUGAGACACGGUCCAGACUCCUACGGGGGGCAGCAGUGGGGAAUAUUGGACAAUGGGCGCAAGCCUGAUCCAGCCAUACCGCGUGGGUGAAGAAGGCCUUCGGGUUGUAAAGCCCUUUUGUUGGGAAAGAAAAGCAGCAGGUUAAUACCCCGCUGUUCUGACGGUACCCAAAGAAUAAGCACCGGCUAACUUCGUG
rnacentral:rRNA from 1 species